rnacentral:lncRNA from 1 species
UGCUGAAGUCUUUCUCAUUUAAUUCCACAUUGUCCCUGUACUGGGUUUACUCAGAGGGAAGAGAGCAGAAACCAAGUAUGUAAGGGGCCAAGAAGCUCAGAUCCACCUAAAGAGAAGACUCCUACACUGACUGGGAAGGACCAGGUUCAAAAGUCUCAGGGUCCUCUUCUGCAGUCUCAAUUGCCUAAGCACUUCUACGAUGGCUCUUCCUUUUAGAUGUUCUGCUCAUAUCUUCUUCUCAGAGCCUUCAUCCAGCAGCUGAUGGAAGCAGAAGCAGAUACCCACAGCUAAAAACUGAACUGAACUUGAAUCCAGUUGCAGAGAAGGAGGAUUGUGAGCAAAGGGGUCAAGAUCACGCUAGUGAAACCCACAGAAAUAGCUGACCUGAACAAGAGGGAGCCCUUGGGCCCCAGACUGAUCACUGGGAAACCAGCAUGGAACUGAUCCAGACCCCAUAAAUGUGGGUAUCAGUGAGGAGGCCUCAGAAAUAUAUGGGGCCUCUUGUAGUAGAUCAGUACUUAUCCC